GCCAGAGUGUCUAUCUUUGGAGACAGCCAUGAAAGGCUAAGGCUGAGACGUAUGGGUUUGAAGUCAUCAUGAACUUACUGAUGACCUUUCUUUGAGCUUCAAAAUCAAAAACUACCUUAUUGAGGUCAGAGCAUGUAGAGAUGGAGUGAGAAAGGCCAAAAGCCGUGUAGAGUUGGACCUUGCGAGGGGAAUUAAAACCAAUAGUAAGAGGUUUUAUAGCCAUAUAAAUAGGAAGAAAACAAAGAAAGAAGAAGUGGGACCGCUUAAGACUGUGGAUGGAGUGGAGCUUAAGGAUAAUCUAGGCAUGGCACAAUGUCUAAACGAAUAUUUUGCAUCGGUCUUUAAUGAGGCUAACGAAGGGCUUAGGAAUAGUGGCAGCGUGACGGAUGGGAAUAAAGGAGGGGGGGUUGACAUUACCGUAUCCGAGGUAGAAGCCAAACUCGAACAGCUUAAUGGGACUAAAUCGGGCGGACCGGAUGAUCUUCAUCCGAGAAUAUUAAAGGAAUUGGCGCGAGAAAUUGCAAGCCUGUUAGCGAUAAUUUUUAAUGAAUCAGUAAACUUGGGGGUGGUACCGUUUGACUGGAGAAUAGCUAAUGUGGUUCCUAUUUUCAAGAAAGGGAAAAAAAGUGACCCGGGUAACUACAGGCCUGUUAGUUUAACAUCUGUAAUAUGCAAGGUCUUGGAAAAAAUUUUGAAGGAGAGAGUAGUUAAGGACCUUGAGGUCAAUGGCAGUUGGGACAAAUUACAACACGGUUUUAUGAAAGGUAGAUCGUGCCAAACCAACCUGAUCUCCUUCUUUGAGAAAGUAACAGAUUUUUUAGAUAAAGGAAAUGCGGUGGAUCUAAUAUAUCUAGAUUUCAGCAAAGCGUUUGAUACGGUACCGCAUGAGGAAUUAUUCGUUAAAUUGGAAAAGAUGGGGAUCGAUAUGAAAAUCCAGAGGUGGAUAAAGAACUGGUUAAAGGGGAGACUGCAGCGGGUCAUACUGAAAGGUGAACUGUCAGUUUGGAG
rnacentral:lncRNA from 1 species